GGCUUUCCUGCCCUAGAGUAGAUCCCUCAGUGACCAUCUUGGCAGUUCUGUGUGGCAGCCUCCCUGGCCUUCAUCUGCUCAUGUAUCUUCCCUCCACCUCUUGCAUUUUUCCAUAGCUGUCAAGUCUGAGGCCCUAUAGGAAACAUCUGGCACACCUCUGCUCCUGGUACGAUCUUAGCCUGUGCCGGGGGGUUUGGCGAGCAGCACCAGACCAUGCAGUACAGUGGUGAGUGCUAGGAUAACCAGUGAACUGCUUCCAGAAGGACAUGGACAGGGUAGAGCCUCCAGCUCAGGCGUUCUCUGUCUACAUCUCCUCCUCAGUGGGUUUGGAAGGUAGUUCUGUGCUAAAGAAACGGUAAUGCUAGUCUUUAAGGUGCUGAGGUGGCAGGAACUCGUGUCACAUUGUGUUUUCAACUAGGGCAGAAGCUUCUUUUUAUACCCAUGACAAUGAUGGAUUAUUGGCUUUGUCUAGAACAUGGUAGAAUGGGGCUCUUCAAGUAUCCCUCAGAUGACACCAGCCUUGGGUCUGAGUCCUGAGCUGUCCUUGUUGCUAGUCCCAGCUUGGAGCUUUGUCACAGUUCUUCAGCAUUGUUUCUUCAUCCCACGUUUGCUUUCCCAGUGGCCCUCCACAGUGCCACCAUUCCAUCAGUGGGCAAAUGCAUCGGUUUUGAUCCUCUAUUUCCACUUAAGUCUUUGGCUUCCAUUUGUAGGGUCUGUGCUGUUUUUACUGUUUACUAUGCUCAGUUUGAGCAGUGGAUACAUUGAAAGAAAAGACCAAGGACUCUAGUAUUGGCUUUUAUUAAUUUUUAUGUUGUUUAUUAUUAAUAUAAUAAUAUAGUAUAAAUAUAUUUAUUUUAUAUUACAUGUUACUUUAUUACUUUUCUGUUAUUAUUAAUUUUAUGUACGUCUGAAUUCCUGGUAACUGUAGAGGCCAGAAGUGUGUGUUAGAUCUCCUGGGACUGGAAUUACAGCUGGUUAUGGGUCACCACAUGGGCGCUGGGAAUUGUACCUGGGUCCUCUGGAAGAAGCCAUUGCUCCAGCCCCAGCAUGGCUUUAUACUGAGAGACACUUUGAAGGCACACACCUGCCAUGUUUUCACACCCUACCCCAAGACCAUGACCGUGACCACACAUGUGUUAGACAGCAUUCACCUCUGAGCUACAUUCCCAGGCUGGACUUCUCAAUGUCCGGAGUGACCUUGAGGAUGAGAAAAGAAAAAGAAAAAAAGCAGCAGCUCUUGUCACCUGCCUGUGAAAGGACUUCUUGUUAACUGCUUCAUGCCCUUCUUCUAAAGGCACUGUUAAUGUUUAUUACCCAGUUUUUAAAAAAGUC
rnacentral:lncRNA from 1 species